rnacentral:lncRNA from 10 species
CUAUGCAAGGCCACAAGUUAAGUGAUGUUAUGCUAUAGAUUAUGUGACCUAUCAUGUGAUUAACUGCUUUUGUUUGCUUCUGUAAGUUUGCUUAUAAAAACCCCACUCAGUCUUUGUUCAAUGCUCAGCUUUUUGGAUAUGAAUCCACUAAGCCAGUGAGUACCUGAAAUAAACAAUCCUCCUGUUCUCCAUGUCAGUCUCUCUAGUCCUCAGUUUCCCACAACAAUGGUCCGCAUGAGCGAUCAGACAGAUCCGCCAGGGAAUCAAGGAGUGCCACCCAGGGAAGCAAGAUGGUUGCUAGAAGAGCGGCAGAUUGGAUGGAGCAGGGAGUUCGGGUGUGACAGGAUGACUGUGGUGUGGUGGUAGGACUUCGACGUGUGGACCCCCAGGUGCUAAACUAAGUUAACUGUUUACCCCUGGAACUACUCCAGACAGUUUCAACUUGAUAAAGGAAAAACUUCAGCCGAAUUAAAUUUAAAGGAGUUUAAUUGAGCAAUGAACAAUUUGCGAAUCAGGCAGCCCACGGAAUCACAACAGGUUCGCAGAGAUUCCAGUGCGUCUGCAUGGUGGAAGAUUUAUGGACGGAAAAAGGAAAGAGAUGUACAGAAAAUGGAAGUGAGGUACAGAAACAGCCAGAUUGGUUACAACUCAGCAUUUGCCUUAUUUAAACAUAGUUCAGGCUGGGCGAGGUGGCUCAUGCCUGUAUUCCCAGCACUUUGGGAGGCUGAGGUGGGUGGAUCAGCUGAGGUUGGGAGUUCGAGGCCAGCCUCACCAACAUGGAGAAAUCCCAUCUCUAUUAAAAAUACAAAAUUAGCCGGGUGUGGUGGUGCACACCUGUAAUCCCAGCUACUUGGGAGGCUGAGGCAGGAGAAUCACUUGAACCCAGGAGGCGGAGGUUGUGGUGAGCCAAGAUAAUGCCAUUGCACUCCAGCCUGGGCAACAAGAGUGAAACUGUCAACAAACAAACAAAACAAAACAAACAAAAAAACACAGUUCAAGCAGUUGGAUACAUUUGAUUGGCCAAAACAGGUGUAGGCUAUGGUCUGUUUACAUGUCCACAUGCUAUAUAGUUCACAAGACGUAGAGAGAAAUCUUUAGGCCGAACUUAAAAUAUGUUAGGAGGCAGCUUUAGGCUAAACUUGAUUUUCAAACUUCAGGCCAGUGUCAGGAUUUAGUUUAAUUUGGAAUCUGUGAAAUUAAACAACUCUGGAGUGAACUCAAGUUAAAUUCUAGAUCACAGUUUCCUGAACUACUAGGUAUAUUCUUCACUCUGCUUACCUGGUGUAAGAAAGAAUGCAAGGCCUCUAGAGGCCCUGAGGCUGCUUUUCCAUCCCAACUCCAAGACUUACUGUGUCAUUUUAGGCGAAUAUUUAACCUCUCUUAACAAACUUGUAAAAUGGGAGUCAUCGUACACUCUUCAAGAAAUUGUGAGACAAUGAAAAGAGAUUAAAUAUGUAACAGGCCGGGUGCUAUGGCUCAUGCCUGUAAUCCCAGCACUUUGGGAGACCAAGGCACGUGGAUUGCUUGAGGUCAGGAGUUCAAGACCAACCCGGCCAACAUGAUGAAACCCCAACUCUACUAAAAAUACAAAAAUUAGCCAGGCGUGGUGGUACAUGCCUGUAGUCUCAGCUACUUGGGAGGCUGAGGCAGGAGACUCGCUUGAGCCCGGGAGGCAGAGGUUGCAGUGAACUGAGACCAUGCCACUGCACUCCAGCCUGGGCAACAGAAUGAGACUCUGUCUCAAUAAACAACAACAACAACAACAACAACCUGUAACAGUGUCUGGUAGCAAAUGAUCGAUGCCAACCUUUUUCCUUCUUCAUCACCCUUGCAUAGCUUGCACCCUAUCUGCUGGUGUUUCAUCCUUGGCAGCUGAGAACAAAAGGUAGGAACAGCAACAAAUUCAAAAGCUGAAACAUCGUUUCUAUGACUUGAAAAGUGUGUGUUUGGUAAGAAUCAAGAGAGAGAAAUACUUCCCAAUUCAGAGACCAGUGUUACCCUGAUACAAAGACCCAAAAAACAUGUUCCAAGAAAGACAACAACAAAAGAACAGGCUGAGAGCCCUCAUGAAUAUGAAUGCAAAACUUCUUAACACAAUUUUAGCAAAUCCAGCAUUCAUGCAUGAUAGAAACACUCACAAACUAGGAAAGGAAGGGCAUGUCUUCAGUAGGAUAAAGGGCUUCUAUAAAAAAAACUACAGCCAGUAUAAUAAUUAAUGGUCAAAGACUCAUUUUUCUUUCUAAUAGCAGGAAAGCAAAACAAAUAUUUCCUGUUACCAUUUCUAUCUAUCAUUAUACUAGAGGUUUUAGCCAGUGCAAUAAAGCAAGACAAAGAAAUUAAAGGCUCCAGUUUUGGGGAAAAAGUAAAACUCUUUAUUUGUAGAAAAUACAUUUCUUUCUUUCUUUCUUUUCUUUUCUUUCUUUCUUUUUUUUUU